UACGUAGGGGGCAAGCGUUGUCCGGAUUUAUUGGGCGUAAAGCGCGUGUAGGCGGUCCGGUAAGUCCGCUGUGAAAGUCGGGGGCUCAACCCUCGAAAGCCGGUGGAUACUGUCGGGCUCGAGUCCGGAAGAGGAGAGUGGAAUUCCGUGGUGUAGCGGUGGAAAUGCGCAGAUAUCAGGAAGAACACCCGUGGCGAAGGCGGCUCUCUGGGACGGUACUGACGGCUGAGACGCGAAAGCGUGGGGAGCGAACAGGAUUAGA
rnacentral:rRNA from 1 species